AAAAAGGACAAACACUUCCAUGUCCAACGUUUGACCGUCCGUCUUAUUUGAAAAAAUUAUGAAAAAAAUUAAAAAGACAAGUCACGCAUAAAAUAUUAAUCAUGUUUUAUCAUCUAACAAUAAUGAAAAUAUAAAUUAUAAAAAAAUUUCAUAUAAGACGGACAGUUAAAAUUGGACACGGAAAACCAGGGUUUACCUUUCU
rfam:Oryza sativa (indica cultivar-group) chromosome 1, whole genome shotgun sequence.